rnacentral:rRNA from 1 species
GUGGGGAAUUUUGGACAAUGGGCGCAAGCCUGAUCCAGCAAUGCCGCGUGCAGGAAGAAGGCCUUCGGGUUGUAAACUGCUUUUGUACGGAACGAAACGGUCCGGGUUAAUACCCUGGGCUAAUGACGGUACCGUAAGAAUAAGCACCGGCUAACUACGUGCCAGCAGCCGCGGUAAUACGUAGGGUGCAAGCGUUAAUCGGAAUUACUGGGCGUAAAGCGUGCGCAGGCGGUUUUGUAAGACAGGCGUGAAAUCCCCGGGCUCAACCUGGGAAUUGCGAUUGUGACUGCAAGGCUGGAGUGCGGCAGAGGGGGAUGGAAUUCCGCGUGUAGCAGUGAAAUGCGUGGAUAUGCGGAGGAACACCGAUGGCGAAGGCAAUCCCCUGGGCCUGCACUGACGCUCAUGCACGAAAGCGUGGGGAGCAAACAGGAUUAGAAACCCGAGUAGUCC